rnacentral:lncRNA from 1 species
GGGAUAGCCUGUCCAAGUAUUAUGGAUAGUGUAGUCAUUAAAUUAUAAUGUUUUAAGAAAGGCGGAUGAAUGAAGUAAUAUUAGUGGAGUUUAAUAUGUAAUUAUGUCUUGUUUGUUCAGGUGUACAUGUAUUGUGUGUUUAGUAUCUUGUCUUGUUCAGUGUCAUUGUCCAUGUGUCAGUUGUUCAGUGCCAUGUGCUUUUGUUUAUGUUUUGUUCUGUAACCUGUGACCUGUUUGUGACCUGUAACCCCAUACUUACCUGUUGGUCAUGUGACCUUUCCUACCUGCCCAUGCAAUUCACCUGAGUGUAAAUCAGUUCUGGCAGACAGGUUGGAGGGAUGGACCAUAUGUAAAAGAUUCGCCUGCAGUUAUAUAUACUGGAUUAUCAGGAUUAUGUGGGAACCCUUGUCGCAUUGAUAGAGGUGUAAGAUUCUUCCAGCUAGUCUGAUGUCCACAAAUGGAAUAAUUAAAAGAAUGGAAACCAA